CCCAGACUCCUACGGGAGGCAGCAGUGGGGAAUAUUGCACAAUGGGGGGAACCCUGAUGCAGCGACGCCGCGUGGGUGAAGGAGUACUUCGGUACGUAAAGCCCUAUCAGCAGGAAAGAAAAUGACGGUACCUGACUAAGAAGCCCCGGCUAACUACGUGCCAGCAGCCGCGGUAAUACGUAGGGGGCAAGCGUUAUCCGGAUUUACUGGGUGUAAAGGGAGCGUAGACGGCAGUGCAAGUCCGGAGUGAAAGCCCGGGGCUCAACCCUGGGACUGCUCUUGGAACUGCGUGGCUGGAGUGCAGGAGGGGCAGGCGGAAUUCCUGGUGUAGCGGUGAAAUGCGUAGAUAUCAGGAGGAACACCGGUGGCGAAGGCGGCCUGCUGGACUGCAACUGACGUUGAGGCCCGAAAGCGUGGGGAGCAAACAGGAUUAGAUACCCGUGUAU
rnacentral:rRNA from 1 species